rnacentral:rRNA from 1 species
GUGAACGCUGGCGGUAGGCCUAACACAUGCAAGUCGAACGGCAGCACAGUAAGAGCUUGCUCUUACGGGUGGCGAGUGGCGGACGGGUGAGGAAUACAUCGGAAUCUACUUUUUCGUGGGGGAUAACGUAGGGAAACUUACGCUAAUACCGCAUACGACCUACGGGUGAAAGCAGGGGAUCUUCGGACCUUGCGCGAUUGAAUGAGCCGAUGUCGGAUUAGCUAGUUGGCGGGGUAAAGGCCCACCAAGGCGACGAUCCGUAGCUGGUCUGAGAGGAUGAUCAGCCACACUGGAACUGAGACACGGUCCAGACUCCUACGGGAGGUAGCAGUGGGGAAUAUUGGACAAUGGGCGCAAGCCUGAUCCAGCCAUACCGCGUGGGUGAAGAAGGCCUUCGGGUUGUAAAGCCCUUUUGUUGGGAAAGAAAAGCAGCAGGUUAAUACCCCGCUGUUCUGACGGUACCCAAAGAAUAAGCACCGGCUAACUUCGUG